UACGUAGGGUGCAAGCGUUGUCCGGAAUUAUUGGGCGCAAAGAGCUCGUAGGCGGUCUGUCGCGUCGGCUGUGAAAACUCGGGGCUCAACCCCGAGCCUGCAGCCGAUACGGGCAGACUAGAAUUCGGUAGGGGAGACUGGAAUUCCUGGUGUAGCGGUGAAAUGCGCAGAUAUCAGGAGGAACACCGGUGGCGAAGGCGGGUCUCUGGGCCGAUAUUGACGCUGAGGAGCGAAAGCGUGGGGAGCGAACAGG
rnacentral:rRNA from 1 species